AGGAGAGCAAAGGCGGCUGAGAAGGAAAAAGGAAAAGGGGGGGAGCUUCGUCUAAAAAAAAAAAAAAAAAACAGAGCAACAAGGGAGUUUGAUCCUGGGGACGGCGAGCUCCGCCUCUGGAGCCUUCAAUCCGGCACCACCGCUCGCCGUUUCAUCAUCCACACUAAAGAUGUUCUCUCCGUAGCCUUCUCCAUUGGCAACCGCCAAGUUGUCUCUGCCUCUGGCGACAAAACCAUCAAAGCUGUGGAACAGGAUGCUGAUGGGCCUACAGAUUGGUUAGCCGAACAAUCUGCAGCCGACAAUUGUUUCUGGGUCGUGGGAUCGAACGUGAAGAUUUGGAAUUUGAGUAAUUGUAAGACGAGGGAAAGGCAAGGAAAACAGAGCAACCGGAAUCUGACACCACCGGAAUUGUUCAACCCCCACCUGCGAAUUUUCACAGAGGGAAAAAGCACUACACAACCUUCUUGGCCGCUGCCGCUCGCUGCGAAUCUAGAUGAAAGCUCUCAGACGAAGUUAGACUUCGUCAUCUUCCAAUUCACCGUCUUCGUCUUCGUCAUAGCCGCCGCUCAAAUAAGAGCACUGUAAGUUGACCCUUUUCCUUUGAAUUUCAAUUCCUUCCUAAGCCCCCUAAGCUUGACGGCCGUGGCUUCAUCUGGUGCAAUCUUCUUGCUAAUUGGCCUCAAUUUUUGAAUAUACAUACUGCAUAUGAUGAUUGGAAUUGAAGUUCUUUGUUCCUAAAUAAUUUUGGGGUUGGUUGUUAUCUCGAUUGCUCACAGAUUUGCUGAAAAUUUUUAUGCUCAUGUAUUGUUUGCUAAAAUGCCCAAACCAAAGUCUUGAAUCAAAAAAGGAAAGAUUUUGGUGCUCUUCUGUAUCCGUGAGAGAGGAAUGCCGGCCGGUCCAAAGCUAGCUAGAAUCUGCCCGUUUGUUAAUUGGGGAAAGGAAAAGAAAAUAAAGGAAUUUUGGAAUCAAUUCUUGUCAUGUUCAAUGUCUUUGGUAUCGGAUGAUGUAGUGUGUUUUGCCGGGUAAAAUUGAUGGAUUUUGAAGCAUCAGAAAUUGCAGAACCCAGAAAUUAGCGUCGAAGAGAGAGCUUCGCGGAGCCUGAAGCAUAAAUUUCUGAAAAUUGCAAUUGAACCCUUCAUUUCCUGCCCAAUUUCACUGUGGUCCAAAGUCUGGAAAAAUUGAACUAAUUUUGUCCUUUUAAGUUUAAUCCUCUGUUUGCAUAUUUUAUGUGACUUUGUGGAUAGAUUAAUUCUUGAUUUUGGGUCAUGAUUGUGGUUUAAUAAUUUUAUUUGAUUUAUCAUGUUGGGUUUUAGUGAAAUGUGUGCUUUGGGUGAGAGGUUUUUUUUGACUUGGGUUUAAGGAGUUGGUUUAGAUUAUUUUGUUGGGUUUCUGAUUUGGGUUUAGAAAGAUAAAGUCCAACACUUUUGAUUGGGUUUAGGAUUGGGUUGUUGAUUAAUUUGGGGGUUUUAAUUGGCAAAAAGUGGGUUACCUCAUUUCAGUACCUUGGACUUCCGAUCGAGCCAAGUGGUAUUGGCCCAAGAAGAAAUUAAAAGUGGCCCAAUGGCCUGUUUGUUUCAGAACCAGAAAAUGAAUUUGCAGAAUGGUCCUCGGAUUUUUCCUUAAUUAUGCUACGGCCCUAAAAACUUUAGGCUUCUUUCAAUUGGGUCCCAGGUUUAAUUGCAAAUAGGUUCCUAAACUUUAUUUUUCUUUUAUUUUAGACCCCAAAACUUUGUUAAUUUUUGCAAUCAAGUCCUUUCUUCUUUUGACUUCUUAAAUGUGGGUUGUUUAUAUGAUUUAAUUGAUUCAAUUUCACAAUUCACUUUUAUCUUUUAUGAUUAUUUGUUAAUUAAAGUGAUGCCUUGACCUUUUCUUUGUAUUUUGGAGGGUAAAUAAGUAAUUUCACACCAUUGGGGCUCCAAAUCAAGGGAGAAUUCUUAUCACAAUGAAUCAGUCCGGAAAUCUAAUUGCAUCUGAACAAGGGGAUAAUUCAUCAACUCCACAAUCAUGAAUGUUGAAUCAGUUGACUUGACCGAUACAGUAGGAGAAGAUGAAUAUGAAAUUGAAGGAGGAAAAAGGAAAUUAAAAUCAAAAGUUUGGGCACAUUUUGAUAGAGAGAAAGGUGAAAAUGGCAUUGUUUAUGGUGUGUGCAAGUAUUGUAAAAAAAAUACAAGACAGGUAGCACUCAUGGGAUGAGUACCUUGCAUGAUCAUUACAAUAGGUGUGGCUAAAAGGUCUAAACAAGAUAUUAGGCAAAUGUUACUUCGAAGUGGUAUUAAAAAGAAUGAUGGCAAACAAGAAUUGCACAAUUAUGUGUCCGAUCAACAACAGUCACGCCAUGAGCUUGCAUCUGCAAUUGUACUGCAUGAGUAUCCAUUAUCUAUUGUGGAUCAUAUAGGCUUUCGAAAAUUUGUUAAGAGUUUGCAGCCAUGUUUUAAACUUGUGUCAAGAAUACAAUUAAAGGAGAUAUUUUGAAGAUCUAUGAAUUGCAAAAAUUGAAGAAUUGCAAUAUUUUGGAGAAGCUUGGAAGUAAGAUAGCAAUUACAACCGAUAUGUGGACUUCUAGCAACACAAAGAAAGGCUUCAUGACUAUCACUGCACAUUAUAUUGAUGAGUCUUGGAUCUUACAAAGUCAAAUUUUGAGCUACUUGUUCUACUUCGGAAGAGAUGUCAUGUAAUACAUUAUUUGAUGAAGAAGAUGAUGUUGAUUGUGUUACUGAAUAGGGUUGCUUUAUCAAGUGAGUUAUCACAUCUCGAGAUAGACGAAGAGAAAAUGUUCUGAAGUUGUUGAAUUAUAUUAAUGAAGAGAAAAGUUGGAUUUAUUGUUGAGUGCUUUUAGUUUGUUGAAUAUGAGAAAUCAAUUUGACUGAAUUUGUUGAAUACAAGAAUGAAUGUAACUUGACUUGUUAUGUUUUAUUUUCAUCUUGAUAGCUAUUUAAUUUUAUUUAACGUUA